UACGUAGGGGGCUAGCGUUGUCCGGAUUUAUUGGGCGUAAAGAGCGUGUAGGCGGCCAGUUAGGUCUGGGGUGAAAACUCGAGGCUUAACCUCGAGAUGUCAUCGGAAACCAUCUGGCUAGAGUCCGGAAGAGGAGAGUGGAAUUCCUGGUGUAGCGGUGAAAUGCGCAGAUAUCAGGAAGAACACCAAUGGCGAAAGCAGCUCUCUGGGACGGUACUGACGCUGAGACGCGAAAGCGUGGGGAGCGAACAGG
rnacentral:rRNA from 1 species